rnacentral:tRNA from 1 species
GCCGGCGUGGCUCAGCAGCGACAGCCGCAGUUUCGUAAACUGCCGGGCAUCAUGCCCCACGAGGGUGCGAGUCCCUCCGCUGGCCCCA